CACGUAGGGGGCAAGCGUUGUCCGGAUUUAUUGGGCGUAAAGAGCUCGUAGGCGGCUCUGUAAGUCGGGUGUGAAACCUCCAGGCUCAACCUGGAGACGCCACCCGAUACUGCUGUGGCUUGAGUCCGGUAGGGGAGCGUGGAAUUCCUGGUGUAGCGGUGAAAUGCGCAGAUAUCAGGAGGAACACCAGCGGCGAAGGCGGCGCUCUGGGCCGGAACUGACGCUGAGGAGCGAAAGUGUGGGGAGCGAACAGG
rnacentral:rRNA from 1 species